rnacentral:piRNA from 1 species
CAUAGUCUGAUCACUGCUUUCUGUAG